rnacentral:rRNA from 1 species
UACAGAGGGGGCAAGCGUUAUUCGGAAUUAUUGGGCGUAAAGGGCGCGUAGGCGGCCAUUCAAGUGACGGGUGAAAGCCCUCGGCUUAACUGAGGAACUGCCUGUCAGACUGGAUGGCUUGAGACCGGGAGAGGUGAGUGGAAUUCCCAGUGUAGCGGUGAAAUGCGUAGAUAUUGGGAGGAACACCAGUGGCGAAGGCGGCUCACUGGACCGGAACUGACGCUGAGGCGCGAAAGCGUGGGGAGCAAACAGG